GCCAUUUCCGGCGAAUACAGAAUAAUUCCUCGAUCCGUUCGUUCAAUCGAGAUCUCUCGCGGAAAAUAAUUUCUAUUUAUCGAUCCUGGCU